rnacentral:rRNA from 1 species
CAGCAGCCGCGGUAAUUCGAAGGUCCCGAGCGUUGUUCGGAAUCACUGGGCGUAAAGGGAGCGUAGGCGGCGCGGUAAGUCAGAUGUGAAAUCCCGGGGCUCAACCCCGGAACUGCAUCCGAUACUGCCGUGCUGGAGGAUUGGAGAGGUAGCUGGAAUUCUUGGUGUAGCAGUGAAAUGCGUGGAUAUCAAGAGGAACACUCGUGGCGAAAGCGAGCUACUGGACAACUCCUGACGCUGAGGCUCGAAGGCCAGGGUAGCGAAAGGGAUUAGAUACCCCUGUAGUCCUGGCAGUAAACGGUGCACGCUUGGUGUGAGGGGAAUCGACCCCCCUUGUGCCGGAGCUAACGCGUUAAGCGUGCCGCCUGGGAAGUACGGUCGCAAGACUAAAACUCAAAGGAAUUGACGG